GGGGAAUAUUGCACAAUGGGGGAAACCCUGAUGCAGCAACGCCGCGUGAAGGAUGAAGGUUUUCGGAUUGUAAACUUCUUUAGUCAGGGACGAAUAAAUGACGGUACCUGAAGAAUAAGCCCCGGCUAACUACGUGCCAGCAGCCGCGGUAAUACGUAGGGGGCGAGCGUUGCCCGGAAUUACUGGGCGUAAAGGGAACGUAGGUGGCUCUUAAAGUCAGAUGUGAAAUCCCAGGGCUUAACUCUGGAGCUGCAUCUGAAACUAUGUUUCUUGAGUGUCGGAGAGGAAAGCGGAAUUCCUAGUGUAGCGGUGAAAUGCGUAGAUAUUAGGAGGAACACCAGUGGCGAAGGCGGCUUUCUGGACGAUAACUGACGCUGAGGCGCGAAAGCGUGGGGAGCAAACA
rnacentral:rRNA from 1 species